UGCUUGUCUCAAAGACUAAGCCAUGCAUGUGCAAGUAUAAACGCUUGAAUCGUGAGACUGCGAAUGGCUCAUUAAAUCAGUUAUAGUUUAUUUGAUGGUGUUCCGCUACGUGGAUAACCGUGGUAAUUCUAGAGCUAAUACAUGCAAAAGGUCCCGACUGUCACGGGAGGGACGUAUUUAUUAGAUCCAAAACCGACCCGGUCGCGGUCUCACGGCCCGGCCGGCGUUCUCGGGUGAUUCAUGGUAACUGUUCGAAUCGCUUGGCCUCCGUGCCGGCGAUGGUUCAUUCAAGUUUCUGCCCUAUCAACUUUCGAUGGUAGCGUAUUGGGCUACCAUGGUCGCAACGGGUGACGGAGAAUUAGGGCUCGAUUCCGGAGAGGGAGCCUGAGAAACGGCUACCACAUCCAAGGAAGGCAGCAGGCGCGCAAAUUACCCAAUCCCGACUCGGGGAGGUAGUGACAAGAAAUAACAAUGCCGGUCCCAUCGAGGUCCGGCAAUUGGAAUGAGUACAAUCCAAACCCCUUAACGAGGAACAAUUGGAGGGCAAGUCUGGUCCCC
rnacentral:rRNA from 1 species